rnacentral:lncRNA from 1 species
AUUGUAGUAGUCUACAUGUUUUACUCCGUUAUUGAUUUGGUCCUCCUUUCUGGGCAGUUUAGUUGGUGUUUUCUCUGUCAUUCAAACUGCCAUUUAUUAACUGUAGAGAUAUUAAUGGCUGGAUGAUUGAUGUAAACCUGGAAGGCAGUGGUGAAAUCAGGAUCGCAGGUUCAUGUGCUCUCCUUUGGCUUGGUGCACCUUCCCUUCUCACCCUGUUUGAAAUUCUGACCCUCCCCCUCCAUUCCCUCUGCUUCCUAGCCUCUCUGACACCCUCUAAGCUCCCCCUGUCUAACACACACAUUUCUCCUCAUUCCCAGACACACACACACCAGCACAGAGCCCACAGACUGCAAAGAGGGGGCUGGGCGGAUUGAUGGAGGGAGAAGACAGAGGCUGAGGUGACUGUGCUGGUGGCGGUGGGGGAGGUAGGUAGAGUGUAGAGCAUGCAGGAUAAUAGAAUCAAUACUAUUGUCUGUAACAUACCUGCCGUUGGGCUUUCAGUCUGGCCCCAGUAGCCAGUCAGUCAUCAGACCCAGCCGCCGUAGAGCAAAGACAGAGAACGAGAGGGGGGGACAAAGAGAGAGAAAAGGAGGGGAAAUGCAGGCAUUGCCGCCUUCUUUUUUAUUUGCCUCAAAUGAUGGUGAAUGAAGAUGGAGUGUUGAAAAAAGGCUACGUUUGAUUCCUUUGUGUUUUUUAAACCUUUGUGUUUUGUUUAGUGCCUCCAAGAUGCACUGGAACUUUGGAUAGAGGAAGAUACCAUCAUUUUGUGUCUCUGUGCCUGUAUUUGUGUGUAUAUGCAUGUAUGUGCGUGUCCGUGUGUGCCUGUGUGUGUGUGUGUGUUUAAUCAACAACUGAACCAUCAGAGGACACAUGCUGAGGGAGACAUGUUGUACACAUGUCUGUGUUGUUGUAGCUGCUACUCUAUGUGCUGCUACUCUAUGUGCUGCUACUCUAUGUGCUGCUACUCUAUGUGCUCAUCUUGUUUCUCCUCUAGAUUCCCACAUUAUUGCUUUAGUCAAUCUGUCUCUGCUUUUCUGCGUUUCAAAUGAUCUUUCUCACACGUUGAUGAUAUUGCAUUUAGAAUGAUGAAAGGGGAUUGGGAACUCAUUUGAGAUUGGAAUUGAUGGAGAGAGGAAAUCUAUUUUGGUAGACAUGUUGAUGUGGUUUAUCAGUAUAUGGCUUAUAUCUGCACCUGCGUACACACCAUAUGUGUGUUCAAAAGCAGAAUUUAGUUUGAGAUUGCAGUAUUGCGGUAAAAACGAUAUUUACAGAUCCAACUGAAGUGUAUUAAUAAUAUGGACUUGUAACUUGAACCGCAGAUAAAUGCAUAAUUCAUUAGUGUGUGAAGUUGUGAAAAAUGUCUUCAAAUGGCUCUUCUUUCCUUUCUGUAAAGACUCACCCUGUUUCACAUUAUUCACAUUCAUCAACAUUUAUUCAUUUCUGACCGCUAAACAGACGAUACUUGAUUCUUUAUUUAACUCAUUGAUUGUAUUUUUCUCAUUAUUUGAAAUU